GGUUCAGGAUGAACGCUAGCUACAGGCUUAACACAUGCAAGUCGAGGGGCAUCAUGGAGUUUGCUUGCAAACUCUGAUGGCGACCGGCGCACGGGUGAGUAACGCGUAUCCAACCUUCCCUAUAGUAGAGGAUAGCCCGGCGAAAGUCGGAUUAAUACUCUAUGUUUUCCGUUGCAGACAUCUAAGAUGGAACAAAGGCUUGCCGCUAUAGGAUGGGGGAUGCGUCUGAUUAGGUAGUCGGCGGGGUAACGGCCCACCGAGCCUUCGAUCAGUAGGGGUUCUGAGAGGAAGGUCCCCCACAUUGGAACUGAGACACGGUCCAAACUCCUACGGGAGGCAGCAGUGAGGAAUAUUGGUCAAUGGGCGCGAGCCUGAACCAGCCAAGUAGCGUGCAGGAUGACGGCCCUAUGGGUUGUAAACUGCUUUUAUGCGGGGAUAAAGUUCACUACGUGUAGUGUUUUGUAGGUACCGCAUGAAUAAGGACCGGCUAAUUCCGUGCCAGCCGCCGC
rnacentral:rRNA from 1 species